rnacentral:lncRNA from 1 species
AUCCAGCUAAGUUCUUGGUGUGAUCUUUUAGUUAAUACAUAAAACUGAUCAUUCUGUGGUUCAGAGACCUUGCUUACCAGUUUGUGCAAGAACACACUAGGAGAGAUGGAAGAAAAUGAGGUGGAGGCAUGUUUUUCAAGCCUCCUGCAUCAAAAAGCAAAGGGAGAGUUUAAAACUAGAGAUUCCUGGGCUGCACCUUUGGAAACUGAUUUAACUGAUUGAGAAGGGGAGGGCCUGAAUCUGGGUUUUAAAAGCUUCCCGGGUGAUUGUGAUGUGCUGCAGUUUUGGAAACCAUCGGGAAAUGUAGGAGCUGAGGUGAAAGUUACUCUUCUUUCAAAUCAGUCAGUAGUCAUUGUAGCUGUUCUUUUCUCUGGGGGAGAUCACUCUGACAGUAGCAAAAACGCUCACCUGUCAGAAUUCCCACAGAUAGUGCAGAUUUGGGCCUCAAAUCCCCAAACUGUGGAAGUUAAUUAAUGUGGAAGAGAUGAAGAAACAAGAAAAGUUCAUCUGAUGGGCUUUAGGAUUCCCCUCCCCUCCCAUAUGGCUUCUCAGUAGCACCAGUGCUAUGAAGAUGCGCCAUCAGGGCUUCCUAUACACCCAAGCACUAACCUGAUGGAUUUCUCAAGUUGGAGUCAACUUGAGUUGGAUGGAUUUCUCCAAACCCAGAACACUCAUUCCCAGGCGAGAGCACAGCCUCACCCAUGUGAGGCUGAUUUGCAAGUGACUCAGGAAGGAGGAAAGCUGAAUGAAGGGCAGUCAUUUUGCUGAGAAGAGUGGCAGCAGAGACGCUGGGGUUCUGGGCAUGCAGCGUCCUGCACAAGUUGCUGCUGUGAACUGGAAAGUCAGAUUCCUGGCGGCUGUGCUUGGUGACACAACAGCAGGCUGUUCUCUUGUGCAAGUCUGCACGCUGGACCUGGGAGCUCAGCACGGAGCUUGCUUCUCUCGCU